rnacentral:rRNA from 1 species
UGACGCUAAUACCGCAUGAUGCAUAGAAGUCGCAUGUCUUUUAUGCCUAAAGAUUUAUUGUACAGAGAUGGGCUCGCGUCUGAGUUAGGUAGUUGGUAGGGUAACGGCCUACCAAGCCGACGAUCAGUAGCCGGACUGAGAGGUUGAACGGCCACAUUGGAACUGAGAUACGGGUCCAGACUCCUACGGGGAGGGCAGCAGUGGGGAAUAUUGGGCAAUGGGCGAAAGCCUGACCCAGCGACGCCGCGUGAGGGAAGAAGGUCUUCGGAUUGUAAACCUUUGUUGGACAGGGACGAAACAAAUGACGGUACCUGUCGAGGAAGCCACGGCUAACUACGUG